rfam:Candidatus Altiarchaeum sp. CG2_30_32_3053 cg_3.0_sub100_scaffold_79_c, whole genome shotgun sequence.
AUAUGAGCUAGGUCGGGUGAUUAGGCGUCACCUGUAACUCCAAACCGUCUAAAGGAGGAUCGAAGUGCGGGAAAAUAAAUCUUUUGUUAUUUGUGAUCCGUAAUUCAGACAAUGAAUUUUCGUCCUGCGAGGCAAGUGGUAUGAGAAUCUGGUCAGACCUUGAUCGGAGCAGCCAUAAUCAUGCUAUUUGUGCUUGUUGGGUAGCGGAGAGGAGGAAGGUUGCAGGUAGUCGCUUAUAGCAGAAGGUUUAAAUUCCUGCACACGCUCAAUU